AACUCCCCCAUGAUAGGGUGAAGCCGGUGCAUGAGUCACAAGCGAUUGGAGCCCACCACGGUGGAAGGCCUAUGAAGAGAUGUUCAAAACAUCUCUCGCUUAUCAACUUAAUAUUCGUUUGUCGAGGGAGUAGUUUUGGGCUACAUCAAAAUCAUUUUAAUCAUAUUAAAAGAACUUGGGCCUAUCAUAACCAUUGGUCCAAGUUAAUAUGAAUUAGUAGCAUAUAAUACUCCCACUGUUUCGUUGAAACAAGCGAGACCAUAUGGAACUACUAACGAACACAUUGCAUCCUCAUAUGGACUAUAUGGUCAUAUUAGGUUUUAGGAUGAUUAUGAACCGUUUAAUUUGAUCCAACACGAGCCUUGUGUUGGACCUUGGGUUUAAGGUAGAUAGUUGUUGAUUUUAGUUACGCGUUUAAUCCAAUUAAACCGUUAUUUCCUAUUGGGCGUUGGACCCAACUAUUCCAUUUUGCAUACAAUUAAACAAAAGGAAUACAUGAAAUAAUAAGAAGGGCUUAUGCCCUUUUACAACAAAAAUGAUGGACUUAUGUCCAUUUACAACAAAUUGAAUUAAUCAAAUUACAUUCAAAUCUACUCUACCAAACCCAAACAUUCAUAAUGUAAAGCGGCCAAUCACAUAGCUCAAUUAUCGAGGCCUUUGGUUCAUAAUCACCCUUUUCUCAAUUAAUCACAUUAACUAAGAAAGCAACUUAAACAAUUGGUUUUUGGAUCCAUAGAAUUGAUUUAAAUGGAACUAAAUGAAAUGAAAAUUCAAUUCUCAUUAAAGAGACAAAAAAAUUUUGUUCUCAUUUUAUUUGGGCCAAAAGGAAACUAUGACCACAACAAUUGGGCCACAAUGCAAAUACAUAAACUUUUGGGGUCACUUUGUAAAAACACAAUAGUCCACAACUUCAUGUAAAUACAACUAGAUCCCAAAGUUUUAAUAAUGUAAAAACAUCAUUAAAGGAGCAAAACAAUUUGUCCUUUAGAGUUUUUGGGCCUUAACGUAAAAACGUAAACUUUUGGGCCAAAGUGCAAAAACACAAAAGUAUCAAAACUUUAUGUAAUUGCACAAAAGGCCCCAAAAGUACCCCACUUGUUGGGGUGGCCGGCCAAGGAGAGAAGAAAUGAAAAUUUUCUAAAAAGUUUUUGCAAGUUGAUUUUGGUGGGUGAGGUAAAGGUGAUUUGGAUGGUUUGUAAGAAAAAAAAUUAAAGUCUAUGACAAACAUUAAAACCAUUUCAUCACAUCUCACCAAUAACCAUCAACCAUCAAAUAAUAAACCAAAACUUUAUGAAAAACAUAAAACUUUUGAAUCAAAACUUCAAAACUUUAUGUUCUUGGCAAGAACUUCAAGAACAUUGAAGAACACCAUGAAAACUCAUAAUAGCUCCAUGAAUGUUUUCACUCACCAAAACUCAAUUUUUCACCACUCAAAAGAGGGCUAAUAUCCUAGGGUACUUAGGGGUUCCAAAAGUCACCUUAAAACCAUUUUAACAAGACAAACAUGAACCCAAAAAAUCACCCUAAGGAUUUGGCCGAAUUUCCAAAAACACAUGGCACCAAAUUUUAGUUCCAAUAUUCAUGCUUAAAUGAAAUACAUCUACAACAUUUGAGAUGCUAAAUUUUCUAGCAAAAUUUAUAUAUUCAAAAGCAAGAAUAAAGCUUGUAACAUUUACAACAUUUAAAUCACAAAUCAUGAAAAUCACAAAACCCAAAAGGAUUCACCAUAAACUAGGCCUAGGCUCUGAUACCACUUGAAGGAAAAAUUUGUCCUAGCUAAGAACAAGUAUGAACAUUUGAAU
rnacentral:lncRNA from 1 species